AAAAAUUAAAAUCGAAACGAAAGAAAAUGAUUCAAAAAUAGAAAAAAUGAGAAAUAAAAUAAAGGAACUAAAAAUAAUAGUGAGGGCCAAGCGUCUGGUGGUGAUAGUCAGCGCAUCCAGACAAUAAUAUUUUAAGGUCAAACAAAAUAAAACAUGCGCGCUAAAAUGAGCCAAUCAGAGAUAGCCACGGUAAAUUUUUGAAUUCAAACGCGCGCGAGGUAACGACCAUGUGAGGUCGUCU
rnacentral:lncRNA from 1 species